UCGGGCUGAAGACUCUACUUGACUAGCUGAGAGGAGGUGCAUGGCCGCCGUCAGUUCGUACCGUGAGGCGUCCUGUUAAGUCAGGCAACGAACGAGACCCCUUGCAUCUAGUUGCCAGCAGAUCCCUUCGGGAUGCUGGGUACCCUAGAUGGACCGCCACUGCUAAAGUGGAGGAAGGAGAGGGCGACGGUAGGUCAGUAUGCCCCCGAAUCUCCCGGGCUACACGCGGCCUACAAUGGACAGGACAAUGGGCUCCGAUCCCGAAAGGGAAAGGCAAUCCUUUAAACCUGUUCUUAGUUCGGAUUGAGGGCUGUAACUCGCCCUCAUGAAGCUGGAAUCUCUAGUAAUCGCGUGUCAUUAUCGCGCGGUGAAUACGUCCCUGCUCCUU
rnacentral:rRNA from 1 species